rnacentral:rRNA from 1 species
UGAGGAAUAUUGGUCAAUGGACGUGAGUCUGAACCAGCCAAGUCGCGUGAAGGAAGAAGGUUCUAUGGAUUGUAAACUUCUUUUAUACGGGAAUAAAGUGCGCCACGUGUGGUGUUUUGUAUGUACCGUAUGAAUAAGCAUCGGCUAACUCCGUGCCAGCAGCCGCGGUAAUACGGAGGAUGCGAGCGUUAUCCGGAUUUAUUGGGUUUAAAGGGUGCGUAGGUUGUUUUUUAAGUCAGCGGUGAAAGUUUGUGGCUCAACCAUAAAAUUGCCGUUGAAACUGGAAGACUUGAGUGUGUUUGA